CUGUAUUCGCAAAAAAGAAAAGGAGAAGGGGAGUGCUUGUGGCACCUUAGAGACUGGCAGGUUUGUUGGAGCAUGGGCUUUCGUGGGCUACAGCUCACUUCAUCGGAUGCAUCCGAUGGGGUGGGCUGUGGCUCACGAGGGCUUGUGCUCUAGUGGAUUUGUUGGUCUCUGGGGUGCCACAAGUACUCCUUUUCUUUUUCAGAAUACAGACUAACACGGCUGCUACUCUGAAACCUCUCCUUACACUGGAAUAAACAUCAUACAGUAGAUGACCUCC